rnacentral:tRNA from 1 species
GGGCCGGUAGCUCAGCUGGUAGAGCGACGGGCUCUUAACCCGUAGAGCCUGAGGCGCGCGCCCCGGGCGCGGAAGUCCCGGGUUCGAGUCCCGGCCGGCCCGCCA